rnacentral:ncRNA from 1 species
UUUCUAGCCCCCUAAAUUUGGUAGCCCUGCUACGCUACUGUUCCUAUAACAGGGAGCUAAGCAUAACUUUAAUACUGCUUCCAAAUUUAAUGUUCAGCCAAUAAAAUAUACCUAAUUAUGUCCAGUUUUGAUAUGGAAACAAAAAAUACCUUGAUCAACUUGAAGAAUAAGAGUGGUGUAAUUGUAUUGCUCUUAAAGCAGUUUGUGUCUCAGCUGUUCAGGUAAAAUCCAGUCCAUAAAUGCCUUUUGUACACACUGUCCGUCGCUAGUACCGAUUGGAUGGUUUAGUGAGGUCCUCGGAUCGGCCCUGCUAGGGUUGGUCAUGGCCCUGGUGGAGUGGCGAGAAGAUGGUCAAACUUGACUAUCUAGGGGAAGUAAAAGUUGUAACAAGGUUUCCAUAGGUGAACUUAAUGAAGGGUCAUUA